UCCAGACUCCUACGGGAGGCAGCAGUGGGGGAUAUUGCACAAUGGGGGGAACCCUGAUGCAGCGACGCCGCGUGGGUGAAGGAGCGUUUCGGCGCGUAAAGCCCUAUCGGCAGGGAAGAAGGAGGACGGUACCUGACUAAGAAGCCCCGGCUAACUACGUGCCAGCAGCCGCGGUAAUACGUAGGGGGCAAGCGUUAUCCGGAUUUACUGGGUGUAAAGGGGGCGCAGACGGCAGCGCAAGCCAGGAGUGAAAGCCCGGGGCCCAACCCCGGGACUGCUCUUGGAACUGCGUGGCUGGAGUGCAGGAGGGGCAGGCGGAAUUCCUAGUGUAGCGGUGAAAUGCGUAGAUAUUAGGAGGAACACCAGUGGCGAAGGCGGCCUGCUGGACGACAACUGACGGUGAGGCGCGAAAGCGUGGGGAGCAAACAGGAUUAGAUACCCCAGUAC
rnacentral:rRNA from 1 species